UGUAUUAAUUAUUUCUAUAGACAAAUUGUAUAUUUUGACUAAUUUUAACAUUUGCUAUGAGUUAUUAUUUUUAUUAAAUCCACAUGCAGAUUUAUUGAUUUAUGUUAUAAUAUUUUGUUUCAGAUGGAUGCCACUACACCCAAGUACUCUAAGGCUAGGUAUGAUGAAAUCGUGAAGGAAGUUUCUUCUUACCUGAAGAAGGUUGGUUACAACCCAGACAAAAUUCCUUUUGUGCCCAUCUCUGGUUUCGAGGGAGACAACAUGAUUGAGAGGUCCACCAACCUUGACUGGUACAAGGGACCAACUCUACUUGAGGCUCUUGACCAGAUCAAUGAGCCCAAGAGACCCACAGACAAGCCUCUCAGGCUUCCAUUGCAGGAUGUCUACAAGAUUGGUGGUAUUGGAACUGUGCCAGUGGGACGUGUUGAGACUGGUGUUGUGAAGCCUGGUAUGCUUGUGACUUUUGGUCCCACUGGACUGACAACUGAAGUUAAGUCUGUGGAGAUGCACCACGAGGCUCUCCAAGAAGCUCUUCCAGGAGACAAUGUUGGAUUCAAUGUGAAGAAUGUUGCAGUCAAGGAUCUCAAGCGUGGUUUCNNNNNNNNNNNNNNNNNNNNNNNNNNNNNNNNNNNNNNNNNNNNNNNNNNNNNNNNNNNNNNNNNNNNNNNNNNNNNNNNNNNNNNNNNNNNNNNNNNNNCAUGUUUUGUUUAACUUAAUUGCAUUUAUCACAUUUUUUGUUUAAAAGAUUACACUUAUUUCUUAUGCAGGGGUGAUCAAUGUAAUGAAAGUUAAAAAAUAUGGGAGGUUUGUGUAGGUGUAGAAAAGUGAGGGGUGGUUUGUGUAAUUUCACUAAAAUUCAGGGGGUGAGUGUAAUUUACUCUUGAAUAAUGAAAGGAAUUGAAAAGUAAAUAACAUUAUUUUUAAUUGAUGGUUUUUUUGUAUGAUAUUAGAUAUCUAUCCAAAUAAAUAUAUUCAUUAGAUAUAAUAAAUGAAUUUAGAUGUAUCCAUUAUUAUAAUUAUACAUUAAAUAUAAUUGACAAUUUAAUUUUUUUUGAAUUUGAAUGAAUUAUGAAUAAUUUGGUAACUAACUUUUAUGUAUGAUAUAUAUCCUCUUCCUUCUAGUGGAGUGGGACACAACCUCCAUUUAAAUUUAAAAGCCUUAAGCGAUAAGCAAAGUUGGGGUAUAUUAGGAACUUUAACUAAAAACCAAGGGUAUUUACGGAAUAACAAAAAGCAGCAACUUCAUAUAAAUAUCACUGAACCCUAAAAUUUUCAUUCCACUCUGCUUCUAUUAUCUCAGUCCCUAUUUCGCGGCUGAGAAUUCUGAAACACCAAGCAUUCUUCUUUAGGUAUAAUUUCUUCGAUCAUCUUCUCUCUUAAUUUCGAUCGAUGUCUCUUGUUUUCUUUUGAUACUUGCUUAUCUUUUUUUUGCGUUAUCGAGUUCCAUGUUUUGAAUCGUUGAGUUUAUUCGAUCGAUGUUUUGAAUGUUUUUAUGAUUAAUUUUGUGUUUAUGUGCUUGAUUAAUUUUGACGUAUUCUCAGAUCUUAUGUUUUGGAUUAAAAGUAGGAUCACUUUGUGGAUGUAUCUGUUUGUGAUGUUUUCAAUGUUUGAUUAUGGAUCUGUGUUGUUAUAAUCGGUACUGUUUGUUCGAUUUAGAUUUUUUAAUGAUAAUUUUGAAAUUCUCUUGUUCACUUUAAAAAAUUUCUGCGUUGUGCUGAUUUUAUGUUACCAAUGAUUAUAUGAUUUGUUGGGUUAGUUUUAUAUGAUAUUAUUUUAAGUUUGCUUUAUACUAUGUGAAUAGUAUUUGUUUCAAAAAAUUUCUUUUCAUUCUUUCUUUUGCUUCAAUGAUUGUAUGUCCCUACGUUAAGAUGGAAUAUCUUUUGCUGUUAUAGAUUUGAUUUGUCUGCUUGAUAACCUAAAUUUGUUUGUUUUCAUUGUUGUUGAAAGCUGUAUAUAUGAUUAUUCUAUUGUUUAAUUUGAGUUCUUACCUGCUGAUCUUUGUCUUCAUUUCAGCUUAAGACAUCAUGGGAAAAGAGAAGGUUCACAUUAACAUUGUCGUCAUUGGACAUGUCGAUUCUGGGAAAUCAACCACCACUGGCCACUUGAUCUACAAGCUUGGAGGUAUUGACAAGCGUGUGAUUGAGAGGUUUGAGAAAGAGGCUGCUGAGAUGAACAAGAGGUCAUUCAAGUAUGCCUGGGUGCUUGACAAGCUCAAGGCUGAGCGUGAAAGAGGAAUUACAAUUGAUAUUGCUUUGUGGAAGUUUGAGACCACCAAGUACUACUGCACAGUCAUUGAUGCACCCGGACAUCGUGAUUUCAUCAAAAACAUGAUUACUGGAACAUCACAGGCUGACUGUGCUGUCCUUAUUAUUGAUUCCACCACUGGUGGUUUUGAAGCUGGUAUUUCCAAGGAUGGACAGACCCGUGAGCAUGCUCUGCUUGCUUUCACUCUUGGAGUCAAGCAAAUGAUCUGUUGUUGUAACAAGGUAUAUAAAUCUAGGGUGUAUUAAUUAUUUCUAUAGACAAAUUGUAUAUUUUGACUAAUUUUAACAUUUGCUAUGAGUUAUUAUUUUUAUUAAAUCCACAUGCAGAUUUAUUGAUUUAUGUUAUAAUAUUUUGUUUCAGAUGGAUGCCACUACACCCAAGUACUCUAAGGCUAGGUAUGAUGAAAUCGUGAAGGAAGUUUCUUCUUACCUGAAGAAGGUUGGUUACAACCCAGACAAAAUUCCUUUUGUGCCCAUCUCUGGUUUCGAGGGAGACAACAUGAUU
rnacentral:lncRNA from 1 species